AAAGUACUACAUAACUACUGCUUUUUUGAAAAGUGCUAUAUAAAUACAACUUUUUUCAGUUAUUGUGAUGAUUUCAAACAUUUUUCCUCCCAAGUGUUUGCUACAAGAUGAUAGGUCUAGUCAGUAUGAGAGACGGGAGCCUCCUACAGAAUUGGAUCACAAGGAUUCUUCUAUUCAGGUCAAGUGACUUUCAGCAUCGUUCUGAUUCUACAGUUAAAGGAUGCAGAUUGCACAAGACAGAAAUUUUCUCGCAGAAAGGUCGACGCCUCUCUUACACCAAAAGGUCAAAAGGCGACAUUGCGUGUGACACUUGAGUUGCGUGAUGCAGUUCGGGUGGUCUCUGCUGUCUCUUCACAUGUCAACAAAGCACUAAAAAGUGAAAAAGAUGACGCUGCAGUUGCCAAUCAGUGGUUUCCAACCGGGGACUCCCAGAGUUGUCUCUGGAUUACUCUAAGAGGCAGA